UACAGAGGUCUCAAGCGUUGUUCGGAUUCAUUGGGCGUAAAGGGUGUGUAGGUGGCGCGCUAAGUCGGGUGUGAAAUUUCGGAGCUUAACUCCGAAACUGCAUUCGAUACUGGCGUGCUUGAGGACUGGAGAGGAGACUGGAAUUCAUGGUGUAGCAGUGAAAUGCGUAGAGAUCAUGAGGAAGACCAGUGGCGAAGGCGGGUCUCUGGACAGUUCCUGACACUGAGACGCGAAAGCGUGGGGAGCGAACAGG
rnacentral:rRNA from 1 species